CCUACGGGAGGCAGCAGUGGGGAAUAUUGGACAAUGGGGGGCAACCCUGAUCCAGCAAUGCCGCGUGUGUGAAGAAGGCCUGAGGGUUGUAAAGCACUUUCAGUGGGGAGGAGGAUUGAUAGGUUAAGAGCUAAUUAAUUGGACGUUACCUACAGAAGAAGCACCGGCUAACUCCGUGCCAGCAGCCGCGGUAAUACGGAGGGUGCGAGCGUUAAUCGGAAUUACUGGGCGUAAAGGGUGCGUAGGUUGUCGAGCAGGUGGUCUGUGAAAUCCCUGGGCUUAACCUGGGCAGGUCAGAUCAAACUGUUGGACUCGAGUAUAGGAGAGGGUAGUGGAAUUUCCGGUGUAGCGGUGAAAUGCGUAGAGAUCGGAAGGAACACCAGUGGCGAAGGCGGCUGCCUGGCCUAAUACUGACACUGAGGCACGAAAGCGUGGGGAGCAAACAGGAUUAGAUACCCUGGUAGUCCACGCCGUAAACGAUGUACAACUAGCUGUUUAGUCACAUAGAAGUGGUGAGUAGCGAAGCUAACGCGAUAAGUUGACCGCCGUGGGGAGUACGAUCGCAAGAUUAAAACCGUCAAAUGAAGUUGACGG
rnacentral:rRNA from 1 species